AACUAACGCUGGCGGCGUGCCUAACACAUGCAAGUCGUACGAGAAAGUUGGCUUCGGCCGAUGAGUACAGUGGCGCACGGGUGAGUAACGCGUGGAUAAUCUGCCCUUAAGUGUGGAAUAACGUACCGAAAGGUGCGCUAAUACCGCAUAAUGCCUGGCAACAUAAGUUGUCCGGCCAAAGAAGGCCUCUGCUUGCAAGCUUUCGCUAAAGGAUGAGUCCGCGUACCAUUAGCUAGUUGGUGGGGUAACGGCCUACCAAGGCGACGAUGGUUAGCUGGUCUGAGAGGAUGAUCAGCCACACUGGAACUGAGACACGGUCCAGACUCCUACGGGAGCAGCAGUGAGGAUAUUGCGCAAUGGGGCAACCCUGACGCAGCAACGCCGCGUGAGUGAGGAAGGUUUUCGGACUGUAAAGCUCUGUCGAGCGGGAAGAAGUGUACCAUGGCUAAUAUCCAUGAUACUUGACGGUACCGCUAAAGG
rnacentral:rRNA from 1 species